rnacentral:tmRNA from 1 species
GGGGGCGAAAAGCUUCGACAGAAAUCGACCCCAAGAAAGGCAAGCCGAGUCGUCAGACCUCGUUAAAGCUGACACAGAUAAAUGCUAAUUUAUCUUCACAACCGGCUUUGGCUGUAGCUUAAAGCCGCGCCGACCCUAAGGAUUCUCGAUAAUUAAGGUCGGUGUCAUGGAUCGAGAAAAGUGUUCUUUUUUUUGGCGCAAGCCAAGAUUGGCGGGAAGACGAGCCUAACUGUCCUUCCCGCUUCAAAGAAAAUUAGGCUAAGCUUGUAGUCUUUCUCUGGGAAAAAUUUCUGGAUCCGGGUGCAAUCUCGGCGCCUCCACUU